rnacentral:rRNA from 1 species
CCUACGGGUGGCAGCAGUGAGGAAUAUUGGUCAAUGGGCGCUAGCCUGAACCAGCCAAGUAGCGUGAAGGAUGACUGCCCUAUGGGUUGUAAACUUCUUUUAUAUGGGAAUAAAGUGCAGUAUGUAUACUGCUUUUCAUGUACCUUAUGAAUAAGGAUCGGCUAACUCCGUGCCAGCAGCCGCGGUAAUACGGAGGAUCCGAGCGUUAUCCGGAUUUAUUGGGUUUAAAGGGAGCGUAGGUGGAUUGUUAAGUCAGUUGUGAAAGUUUGCGGCUCAACCGUAAAAUUGCAGUUGAAACUGGCAGUCUUGAGUACAGUAGAGGUGGGCGGAAUUCGUGGUGUAGCGGUGAAAUGCGUAGAUAUCACGAAGAACUCCGAUUGCGAAGGCAGUUCACUGGACUGCAACUGACACUGAGGCUCGAAAGUGUGGGUAUCAAACAGGAUUAGAUACCCUUGUAGUC